UGGCUCAGAUUGAACGCUGGCGGCGUGCUUAACACAUGCAAGUCGCGCGUGAAAGGACUUCGGUCCGAGGUAAAGCGGCGCACGGGUGAGUAACGCGUGGAUGAUCUACCCAUGAGUUAGGAAUAACGGCUGGAAACGGUCGCUAAUACCAAAUACGCUCCGAUUUCAACUUCGGGGGGAAAGGUGGCCUCUGCUUGCAAGCUACUGCUCAUGGAUGAGUCCGCGUCCCAUUAGCUAGUUGGUGGGGUAACGGCCCACCAAGGCGACGAUGGGUAGCCGGUCUGAGAGGAUGACCGGCCACACUGGGACUGGAACACGGCCCAGACUCCUACGGGAGGCAGCAGUGGGGAAUAUUGCGCAAUGGGCGAAAGCCUGACGCAGCGACGCCGCGUGAGGGAUGAAGGUCCUCGGAUCGUAAACCUCUGUCAGGAGGGAAGAACCGCCACGGUGCUAAUCAGCCGUGGUCUGACGGUACCUCCAAAGGAAGCACCGGCUAACUCCGUGCCAGCAGCCGC
rnacentral:rRNA from 1 species